CAGCCGCCGCGGUAAUACGAAGGGGGCUAGCGUUGCUCGGAAUUACUGGGCGUAAAGGGAGCGUAGGCGGAUCGUUAAGUUGGGGGUGAAAGCCCGGGGCUCAACCUCGGAACUGCCUUCAAUACUGGCGAUCUUGAGUAUGAGAGAGGUGUGUGGAACUCCGAGUGUAGAGGUGAAAUUCGUAGAUAUUCGGAAGAACACCAGUGGCGAAGGCGACACACUGGCUCAUUACUGACGCUGAGGCUCGAAAGCGAGGGGAGCAAACAGGAUUAGAGACCCCCGUAGUCCCUGUCUCUUAUAC
rnacentral:rRNA from 1 species